rnacentral:rRNA from 1 species
GAUGAACGCUGGCGGCGUGCUUAACACAUGCAAGUCGAGCGAAGCACUUACCAUUGACUCUUCGGAAGAUUUGGUAAAUGACUGAGCGGCGGACGGGUGAGUAACGCGUGGGUAACCUGCCUCAUACAGGGGAAUAACAGUUAGAAAUGGCUGCUAAUGCCGCAUAAGCGCACAGUACCGCAUGGUACGGUGUGAAAAACUGAGGUGGUAUGAGAUGGACCCGCGUCUGAUUAGGUAGUUGGUGGGGUAACGGCCUACCAAGCCGACGAUCAGUAGCCGGCCUGAGAGGGUGAACGGCCACAUUGGGACUGAGACACGGCCCAGACUCCUACGGGAGGCAGCAGUGGGGAAUAUUGCACAAUGGGGGAAACCCUGAUGCAGCGACGCCGCGUGAAGGAAGAAGUAUCUCGGUAUGUAAACUUCUAUCAGCAGGG